rnacentral:rRNA from 1 species
CAGUCGCCACGGGAAUACGUAGGUGGCAAGUGUUGUCCGGAAUUAUUGGGCGUAAAGGGCUCGCAGGCGGUUUCUUAAGUCUGAUGUGAAAGCCCCCGGCUCAACCGGGGAGGGUCAUUGGAAACUGGGAAACUUGAGUGCAGAAGAGGAGAGUGGAAUUCCACGUGUAGCGGUGAAAUGCGUAGAGAUGUGGAGGAACACCAGUGGCGAAGGCGACUCUCUGGUCUGUAACUGACGCUGAGGAGCGAAAGCGUGGGGAGCGAACAGGAUUAGAUACCCCAGUAGUCCCUGUCUCUUAUAC